GAGCCAAGACCUGGGGGGCCGCAAGGUCCGGCUGGGUUGAGGCUCUCGAGCGGGGAAGCGCAUGCUCUUUGGUGGGUGUGCGUGUGACCCGCGGUUUACUUUGAAAAAAUUAGAGUGUUCAAAGCAGGCGAUCGCUUGAAUACAUUAGCAUGGAAUAAUGGAAUAGGACCGUGGUUCUAUUUUGUUGGUUUCUAGGACCGGGGUA
rnacentral:rRNA from 1 species